UACGUAGGGUGCGAGCGUUGUCCGGAAUUACUGGGCGUAAAGAGCUCGUAGGUGGUUUGUCGCGUUGUUCGUGAAAACUCACAGCUUAACUGUGGGCGUGCGGGCGAUACGGGCAGACUGGAGUACUGCAGGGGAGACUGGAAUUCCUGGUGUAGCGGUGGAAUGCGCAGAUAUCAGGAGGAACACCGGUGGCGAAGGCGGGUCUCUGGGAAUGACCUGACGCUGAGGAGCGAAAGUGUGGGGAGCGAACAGG
rnacentral:rRNA from 1 species